rnacentral:rRNA from 1 species
GACGAACGCUGGCGGCGUGCCUAAUACAUGCAAGUCGAGCGAGCGGCGGACGGGUGAGUAAUGUCUGGGAAACUGCCUGAUGGAGGGGGAUAACUACUGGAAACGGUAGCUAAUACCGCAUACCAUCCGAUGUGCCCAGUUGGGAUUAGCUAGUAGGUGGGGUAACGGCUCACCUAGGCGACGAUCCCUAGCGUGUCUGAGAGGAUGAUCCGCAACACGGGGACUAAGACACGGACCAGACACCUACGGGAGGGAGCAGUGGGGAAUUUUGGACAAUGGGCGCAAGCCUGAGCCAGACAUGCCGCGUGUCUGAAGAAGGCCUUCGGGUUGUAAAGGACUUUUGUCAGGGGAACGGUACCUGAAGAAUAAGCACCGGCUAACUACGUGCCAGCAGCCGCGGUAAUUC